AUGAGAAAAACACACCAGACAACAACACGGGCCGCAGAAGGAGGGUAGGACCAAAAAUACAUCUUUUCAGGGUUGAAUUUGAACAUCGAUACAUCCACGGAUACAUCCAAGAAUCACCCAUGUGUUGGAUUAUUUGGAAGUGAUGGACAAACUCCAGAGGUUAAAUCGGCAGAUAAGCCGAGCUGUCUAACGAGGGCGAGAAAUCCGCGGCGCACGUCAUCUGAGGGAAGCAAUCAAAAGACCUCCGGCUCAACUCGACGCCGCCGCCGCCGCCGCCACCAUCCCCCGCUCACCUUCAGCUGCUGUUUUGUUCUUCAUUCAUGUCGGGCCUUCCUCCGCCGGCCCGUUUGACUGACAGCAGAGACGAGCCCGGAGAGCCGGAGUCAUACAGGCACAACGGAGACAUAUGUUUCUGUCAGACGGCGUUAGGUUUGAUUCUCAUGGAACACAGAUGCCAUUAGAAGUAGAUGUCACAACGUUGCUGGAUGAAUCGGUUGAGGCUGCAACAAUCUGCUGACUUCCAUCCGUCACUGGCCCAGUGGAAACUGGGAGGGCGCCGCGGAUACACUGAUGAAAACUGGUGAUGGAACUUUAAAGUCACUCAACGGAGGACGAUGCACGCUGUGAAAUAACCUGACAUGACUGCUGAUGAAAACGGAUAGAGUCCUACGAGCUUCCUCUCUGAGCACAGACGGAGGCUGCCAGAAGGAGAGUAUCGCCACCAUCAGAUGGGAACCCUCGCUGUGCUCCCAUGCUGUGUUUGACUUCAGCUGACUCUAUCAGCGGCGAGUGAUUUGUGACUGACCCCGACGCUGUGACAAGAAACCAUGGCUAAAAGCUAAACAGUGGACUCAGCCCAGACUCAAACUGCAGUCCGCCCAUUAGUGACGUCACCUGACUUCCUCCUUUGCGCCGGUCAUAAUCCCUCCAGCCGCCGGAGAUCCAUCCCCUAACGAGGCCUGAGGGAAACAGCUGGACUCUGCGGGUUGCUGCCGAGCCGAGCCGGCGAAAAAACAGACAAAUCAGAGAGGUCUAAUUGUUUUUUAACGUGGU